GACGAACGCUGGCGGCGUGCUUAACACAUGCAAGUCGAAUGGAAAGGCCCUGCUUUUGUGGGGUGCUCGAGUGGCGAACGGGUGAGUAACACGUGAGUAACCUGCCCUUGACUUUGGGAUAACUUCAGGAAACUGGGGCUAAUACCGGAUAGGAGCUCCUGCUGCAUGGUGGGGGUUGGAAAGUUUCGGCGGUUGGGGAUGGACUCGCGGCUCAUCAGCUUGUUGGUGGGGUAGUGGCUUACCAAGGCUUUGACGGGUAGCCGGCCUGAGAGGGUGACCGGCCACAUUGGGACUGAGAUACGGCCCAGACUCCUACGGGAGGCAGCAGUGGGGAAUAUUGCACAAUGGGCGGAAGCCUGAUGCAGCAACGCCGCGUGCGGGAUGACGGCCUUCGGGUUGUAAACCGCUUUCGCCUGUGACGAAGCGUGAGUGACGGUAAUGGGUAAAGAAGCACCGGCUAACUACGUG
rnacentral:rRNA from 1 species